rnacentral:rRNA from 1 species
UAGGGAAUCUUCGGCAAUGGACGAAAGUCUGACCGAGCAACGCCGCGUGAGUGAAGAAGGUUUUCGGAUCGUAAAACUCUGUUGUUAGAGAAGAACAAGGACGUUAGUAACUGAACGUCCCCUGACGGUAUCUAACCAGAAAGCCACGGCUAACUACGUGCCAGCAGCCGCGGUAAUACGUAGGUGGCAAGCGUUGUCCGGAUUUAUUGGGCGUAAAGCGAGCGCAGGCGGUUUCUUAAGUAUGAUGUGAAAGCCGCCGGCUCAACCGGGGAGGGUCAUUGGAAACUGGGAGACGUGAGUGCAGAAGAGGAGAGUGGAAUUCCAUGUGUAGCGGUGAAAUGCGUAGAUAUAUGGAGGAACACCAGUGGCGAAGGCGGCGCUCUGGUCUGUAACUGACGCUGAGGCUCGAAAGCGUGGGGAGCAAACAGG